GCAACCCCCGCCAGAAGGACGGUACCGCCAUAUCGCUAGGAGCUCCGCCAGUCAUCGCCGAGGGGAGUCAUCGAAGUUGCAGCCAGUUUGGUUUCAGCAGCUAGGUUUCUUGUCAUGUCAAGAAUCGAGACAGGAUCGGCCAGGAUAACUCGUUGCAGGAGAAGAAACGCUCGGACGACGGCCCCAUCAUAAGCCCAUUUCGCCUGGAGUCAGCCAACUGGAGCCACCAGGCGAGGAUUCGUUGCCAAGGGCUGUGAAAGGAUAAGUGAUUAAUUGUAUCGUUGUUGUUUGGUUGACUGAGUUGUUUUUGUUUUUAGUUUUUAGCGAAUUUUGCGAGGAAGCUAAAUUUGGUGAUCAUUUUUUUGACGCGGGUCAGUGUGUGAAUUUGCGACUGACGAAUUUUGGCAUUUUGGCUAGCAGUAGGUCCACUCAUCGACGGAUGACUGCAGCAUGGAGACGGAGUGUAAAUUCGCAGGAUUGUCAGCCUCGUUUUCGUUGAGAUUCGUCAGCAUGCAUCCGGGGUUACAUCAUGCAAGGAGUGGUUUAUGCUGCCGUCAGGGGGCCAAAAUGCGUUUUCGUGGUGGCAGGAUUCAGGCAUUUCGGCGAGCAGCAGCACCACG